rnacentral:piRNA from 1 species
UUAUUGUGUCAAAAUCCCUUUCUCAGCUGGU